GACGAACGCUGGCGGCGUGCUUAACACAUGCAAGUCGAACGGUGAAGCGCUUGCCUUUUUGGUGGGUGUGGAUGAGUGGCGAACGGGUGAGUAACACGUGAGUAACCUGCCCUCUUCUUCUGGAUAACCUCAUGAAAGUGGGGCUAAUACGGGGUAUUCCGGGUCUGUCGCAUGGCGGGUUUGGGAAAGAUUGCGCCUUUGGGUGUUUUCGGUGGGGGAUGGGCUCGCGGCCUACCAGCUUGUUGGUGGGGUGAUGGCCUACCAAGGCGGUGACGGGUAGCCGGCCUGAGAGGGUGGACGGCCACACUGGGACUGAGACACGGCCCAGACUCCUGCGGGAGGCAGCAGUGGGGAAUAUUGCACAAUGGGCGCAAGCCUGAUGCAGCGACGCCGCGUGAGGGAUGGAGGCCUUCGGGUUGUGAACCUCUUUCGCCAGUGAAGCAGGCCUGCUCCUGUGCGGGUGGGUUGACGGUAGCUGGAUAAGAAGCGCCGGCUAACUACGUG
rnacentral:rRNA from 1 species